UUUGGGGGAGGGGGGUCCCUCUGCCCGGAUUGCAAGAGGGUGCAGGCCAGGCUGAGGGACCCCACUGGUGCACU
rfam:Myotis brandtii contig154975, whole genome shotgun sequence.